CUUCAACGAGCCGAACAGCAGCGGGUGUUCGCGGUCCUGGCCGUAGGUGGCGAGCAGUGCCUGUGCCUC
rnacentral:antisense_RNA from 1 species